UACGGGGGGAGCAAGCGUUGUUCGGAUUUACUGGGCGUAAAGGGCGCGUAGGCGGCGUGACAAGUCACUUGUGAAAUCUCCGGGCUUAACCCGGAGCGGCCAAGUGAUACUGUCGUGCUAGAGUGCGGAAGGGGCUACUGAAUUCUCGGUGUAGCGGUGAAAUGCGUAGAUAUCGAGAGGAACACCUGCGGCGAAGGCGGGUAGCUGGGCCGACACUGACGCUGAGGCGCGAAAGCCAGGGGAACGAACGGG
rnacentral:rRNA from 1 species